CCUACGGGGGGCAGCAGUGGGGAAUAUUGGACAAUGGGCGAAAGCCUGAUCCAACCAUGCCGCGUGUGUGAAGAAGGCCUUCGGGUUGUAAAGCACUUUCAGUGGGGAAGAAAGCCUUGGGGCUAAUACCCUCGAGGAAGGACAUCACCCACAGAAGAAGCACCGGCUAACUCCGUGCCAGCAGCCGCGGUAAUACGGAGGGUGCGAGCGUUAAUCGGAAUUACUGGGCGUAAAGCGCGCGUAGGCGGUCUGAUAAGCCGGUUGUGAAAGCCCCGGGCUCAACCUGGGAACGGCAUCCGGAACUGUCAGGCUAGAGUGCAGGAGAGGAAGGUAGAAUUCCCGGUGUAGCGGUGAAAUGCGUAGAGAUCGGGAGGAAUACCAGUGGCGAAGGCGGCCUUCUGGACUGACACUGACGCUGAGGUGCGAAAGCGUGGGUAGCAAACAGGAUUAGAUACCCGAGUAGUC
rnacentral:rRNA from 1 species